rnacentral:tRNA from 1 species
GAGCCCGUAGCUUAGUUGGUAGAGCGCCUGCUUUGCAAGCAGGAGGUCAGGAGUUCGAAUCUCCUCGGGUCCACAA